GCGGAGGUAGCCAAGCCCGGCUACGGCGUGGGACUGGAGAUCCCAUGGGGCUUUGCCCCGCGGGGGUUCAAAUCCCCCCCUCCGCGCCA
rnacentral:tRNA from 1 species